UGGUCAAGCUACAAAGGGCUCACGGUGGAUACCUUGGCACACAGAGGCGAUGAAGGACGUGGUUACCUGCGAUAAGUCUCGGGGAGCUGGAAACACGCUUUGAUCCGGGAAUUUCCGAAUGGGGCAACCCCUAGAACGGUCCGCUGAAUCCAUAGGCGGACGCGAGCCAACCCAGCGAACUGAAACAUCUUAGUAGCUGGAGGAAAGAA
rnacentral:rRNA from 1 species